rnacentral:rRNA from 1 species
CGGCGUGCCUAAUACAUGCAAGUCGAACGCACUGACGUCGACAGAAGGUGCUUGCACUGGAAGUUGAUUGACGUGAGUGGCGGACGGGUGAGUAACACGUGGGUAACCUGCCCUUAAGCGGGGGAUAACAUUUGGAAACAGAUGCUAAUACCGCAUAAAAGUUGAGAUCACAUGGUCUUAAUUUGAAAGACGGCCUUUGGCUGUCACUUAAGGAUGGACCCGCGGCGUAUUAGCUAGUUGGUGAGAUAAUAGCCCACCAAGGCGAUGAUACGUAGCCGACCUGAGAGGGUAAUCGGCCACAUUGGGACUGAGACACGGCCCAAACUCCUACGGGAGGCAGCAGUAGGGAAUCUUCCACAAUGGACGAAAGUCUGAUGGAGCAACGCCGCGUGAGUGAAGAAGGUUUUCGGAUCGUAAAACUCUGUUGUUGGAGAAGAACAGGGACUAGAGUAACUGUUAGUCCUUUGACGGUAUCCAACCAGAAAGCCACGGCUAACUACGUGCCAGCAGCCGCGGUAAUACGUAGGUGGCAAGCGUUGUCCGGAUUUAUUGGGCGUAAAGCGAGCGCAGGCGGUUUCUUAAGUCUGAUGUGAAAGCCUUCGGCUUAACCGAAGAAGUGCAUCAGAUACUGGGAAACUUGAGUGCAGAAGAGGAAAGUGGAACUCCAUGUGUAGCGGUGAAAUGCGUAGAUAUAUGGAAGAACACCAGUGGCGAAGGCGGCUUUCUGGUCUGUAACUGACGCUGAGGCUCGAAAGUAUGGGGAGCGAACAGGAUUAGAUACCCUGGUAGUCCAUACCGUAAACGAUGAAUGCUAAGUGUUGGAGGGUUUCCGCCCUUCAGUGCUGCAGCUAACGCAUUAAGCAUUCCGCCUGGGGAGUACGACCGCAAGGUUGAAACUCAAAGGAAUUGACGGGGGCCCGCACAAGCGGUGGAGCAUGUGGUUUAAUUCGAAGCUACGCGAAGAACCUUACCAGGUCUUGACAUCUAGCGCCAAUCCUAGAGAUAGGACGUUCCCUUCGGGGACGCUAAGACAGGUGGUGCAUGGUUGUCGUCAGCUCGUGUCGUGAGAUGUUGGGUUAAGUCCCGCAACGAGCGCAACCCUUAUGAUUAGUUGCCAGCAUUUAGUUGGGCACUCUAAUCAGACUGCCGGUGACAAACCGGAGGAAGGU